rnacentral:lncRNA from 1 species
AUGGCUUUCGCUGCUCUGACCGUCCUCGCCUGCUUGGGCGCCGCCGCCGCCUACGAAUACGACUACGCCCCGGCCAAGAUCGAAGCCGCCCCAGUCCAGGCCAAAUAUGACGUCAUCAGCCAGCCCUCAUACAAGCACGCCCACGCCCCCUGCCCAGCCCCCGUUCCUGAGAUCAAGCCCGUUGUCGUGAAGUCUCAGCUCCCGGUGCCGUUCACCUACGGAGUUCACCGUCAACCCCAGGUCCUCGAGCACCACGCCGCUCCCUCCGUCUUCCACUACUACGGACAACCCUACGUCGUCAAACACACCCAGAGCGCCGUCCUCCACGCCUACACCCAGAAGCCCGUCGUUGUCGACAACUACGAGCAUCCCCAGGUCCAUGAAGAGUAUGCCAAGCCCGCCGUCAUCGUCGAAGAAGCCUGCCCCGAAGUUGAACACUACCACCAUUAAGCGUCUCUCUUGUAAGUUGUUUCUUGCCUAGCGCACCCAUGUUCCUCAGUUGAUCAUAAUACAAACCUGUUGUUAAUUACCUCAAUCCACGCCUCUUCGUUUUUUACUCCUAUCCUGAUUAGCAGUACACUGGAAAAAAAAUGGAUCUAGAGUCCAGAGUCUUGAAAACAUUGACAAGAAAAAAUACUCUUGAUUCAAUCGGCUUUUUGCUUGAAUCAAAACGAAAUCCGCUUAAAUUAAGAGGCUUGGUUCUUGAUUUAAGCUAGAUUCUGAUUGAAUCAAGAGUACUUUUUCUUGUCGAUGUUUUUAAGAGUCUGGACUCAAUGUGUUUUUUUUUUCCAGUGUAGGGCGAAAUCAAAAAGACGGAUGUAACCAGUGGUGAUUCUUGACAAAUUCCUAUACUGUUCUUCCUCCAUUUAAAUGUAUGUAAAUAAAUCGAUUUUUGAUGAGGCUUGCUUCAUCUAAAAUCGAUAUUUUCAACGGAUUUAAAUGGAGGGGAAAAAGUGUUGCCAACUUGUAGAAUCGCAACUGGAUGCAACCAGAAUCAGCCGAACUGCAUUUUACGUGCAUUUCUAUCAUAGUUCGUAUUUUUAUCACAAACUAAACAGCGUACCUUUAUUAAACCCUCAAUAAACUUUCUCUUGAUUUCAAAAAAAUACUCUCACAAAAAUUAAAUCCAGAAUGUUGCUUGGUUUUAUUUAAAAAAAAUAAAUAAAUAAAAGUUGAGAGGAAUUCAGGUGCCCAAAUGGAUGAAUUUAAGCAAAAUUACCCAAAGCACAUCAGGUGUCGCCAGUUUUAUUUUCUUAAACAGAGAACUAAUUGACAUUCAAACUUGACAUUUUUGUGAAUAUAUGUAUUAUUCACAGUCCAGGUGAUCUUCAUAGAAAAAAGUUUCUAGGGUAAAUGUCAUGCAAUUACCCAUCAAAGAAUUAAAACAUGGGUGAUAAUUAGGCACUUUGAAACGCGCACAGGCUUAAGUUAGUAAAAUCCUUUCAAAUAAUGUCUUGAUUUUGUGUGCCAACACUUUAACUGUCUGUGCAGUAGACUUCGCGAAAAGUCUAUAUCUCUGGCAAGAGCAGUUUUAGGCAGCUUUUCUUGUUUUUAAUAAUUUUUCCUCAUUACUUCUAAUUGAGGAACAAAAUGAAGAAACUUAUCUGCUAUAAAGUAGUUUAAUUCCCAGUUUUGACCUCUCUUAAAUUUUCUACGGUAAGAAAAUGCCCAAAAGUUACUCUCUGCUUACUUUCGACGUUCUAGAAGUCAGAGCGCCUAGUAAACAUACUUUAAAACAGAUAGACUUCUCGAUUUUUUGGUAUGACAGAUGAAAAUGAUGACAACAAAUGAUGUGCAUAAAAAAAUCUGUUUAGACCUACUUUUAACAGAGAUGUUCUCUUUUUCAUGAUGUCUGAGAAUGAAUUGAAGUCUCGAGACACAAAAGUGUAAAUUUGUUUGAUUACGACCCUUACCUCCUUUGAAAAAAAACCCUAGAAACUAUACUGAGAAAAAUCGAAUUCAUUAC